rnacentral:rRNA from 1 species
UUUUAUAAUUAAAAUUAUUAAGAUUAUUUUUAAGUUUAAUGAUUAAAAUUAUUUUAAUUAUUUUGUUGGGGUGACAAAAAAAUAUAAAAAACUUUUUUUACAUAUAAAACAUAUAUAAGUGAUUAAGUGAUCCAAUAAUAUUGAUUAU